ACAGCAGUAGCCACGGGAAUACAGAGGGUGCGAGCGUUAAUCGGAUUUACUGGGCGUAAAGCGUGCGUAGGCGGCUAAUUGAGUCGGAUGUGAAAUCCCCGAGCUUAACUUGGGAAUUGCAUUCGAUACUGGUUAGCUAGAGUGUGGGAGAGGAUGGUAGAAUUCCAGGUGUAGCGGUGAAAUGCGUAGAGAUCUGGAGGAAUACCGAUGGCGAAGGCAGCCAUCUGGCCUAACACUGACGCUGAGGUACGAAAGCAUGGGGAGCAAACAGGAUUAGAUACCCCGGUAGUCCCUGUCUCUUAUCA
rnacentral:rRNA from 1 species